rnacentral:rRNA from 1 species
UACGGAGGGGGCAAGCGUUACUCGGAAUUAUUGGGCGUAAAGGGCGCGUAGGCGGUCGUGUGCGUCGAGGGUGAAAUCCCCGGGCUUAACCCGGGAGCUGCCUUCGAUACGGCACGGCUUGAGUCCGGGAGAGGGAUGUGGAAUUCCAGGUGUAGCGGUGAAAUGCGUAGAUAUCUGGAGGAACACCGGUGGCGAAGGCGACAUCCUGGACCGGUAUUGACGCUGAGGCGCGAAAGCCAGGGGAGCAAACGGG